UUACAUACCUGGACGGAGUCAAUGGACGAUCAAAAAGGUCCAUGGCCUAGGGGGUUGGUCUCUAUUGCACUUUGGAGAUGCAACUGCCUAAGGUCUCCUCAAGUAGGAGAUCCUACGUCAUAAUUUGUGGUAGCAAGGGGCUUCUGCGUUCGCGCGGCCCCUUU